GACGAACGCUGGCGGCGUGCUUAACACAUGCAAGUCGAACGGAAAGGCCUGCUUUCCCUUGUGGAUUGCGGGUACUCGAGUGGCGAACGGGUGAGUAACACGUGAGUGAUCUGCCCCCAACUUGGGUAUAAGCCUGGGAAACUGGGUCUAAUUCCCGAUAGGACUGCAGGGUGGUGCCUGUGGUGGAAAACGAUUUUCUAGUGGUUGGGGAUGAGCUCGCGGCCUAUCAGCUUGUUGGUGGGGUAAUGGCCUACCAAGGCGGCGACGGGUAGCCGGCCUGAGAGGGGGGACGGCCACAUUGGGACUGGGAUACGGCCCAGACGCCUGCGGGAGGCAGCAGUGGGGAAUAUUGCACAAUGGGCGGAAGCCUGAUGCAGCGACGCCGCGUGGGGGAUGACGGCCUUCGGGUUGUAAACUCCUUUCGACCGCGAGGAAGCCACCUGGUUGGAAGGGUGGUGACGGUAGUGGUAGAAGAAGCACCGGCUAACUACGUG
rnacentral:rRNA from 1 species